rnacentral:rRNA from 1 species
CACGUAGGCACCAAGCGUUGUCCGGAUUUACUGGGCGUAAAGCGUGCGCAGGCGGUGAGCUGUGUCCGAUGUGAAAGCCCCGGGCUUAACCUGGGAAUGGCAUUGGAAACUGGCUCGCUGGAGUGUGGCAGAGGGGGGUGGAAUUCCGCGUGUAGCAGUGAAAUGCGUAGAGAUGCGGAGGAACACCGAUGGCGAAGGCAGCCCCCUGGGCUAACACUGACGCUCAGGCACGAAAGCGUGGGGAGCAAACAGG